rnacentral:tRNA from 2 species
GGACCCAUGGCGCAACGGUAGCGCGUCAGAUUCCAGUUCAUGGAGUCUCCUGAAGGUUAUCCGUUCGAAUCGGGUUGGGUUCA